rnacentral:rRNA from 1 species
AGAGUUUGAUCAUGGCUCAGGACGAACGCUGGCGGCGUGCUUAACACAUGCAAGUCGAGGGCACCCUUUCGGGGGUGACCGGCGAACAGGUGCGUAACACGUGAGCAACCUGCCCGCUUGUGGGGGAUAGCCGGCCCAACGGCCGGGUAAUACCGCAUACGUUCCAAGGCUCACCUGGGCUUUGGAGGAAAGCUUUAUGCGCAGGCGGAGGGGCUCGCGGCCUAUCAGCUUGUUGGUGGGGUAAUGGCCUACCAAGGCGACGAUCGGUAGCUGGUCUGAGAGGAUGAUCAGCCACACUGGGAUUGAGAACGGCCCAGACUCCUACGGGGGGCAGCAGUGAGGAAUUUUCGGCAAUGGGCGCAAGCCUGACCGAGCAACGCCGCGUGCAGGAGGAAGGUCUUCGGAUCGUAAACUGCUUUUCUGGGGGACGACGCAGCGACGGUACCUCAGGAAGAAGCCCCGGCUAACUACGUGCCAGCCGCCGCGGUAAUAC